rnacentral:rRNA from 1 species
ACAUGCAAGUAGAACGCUGAAGGAGGAGCUUGCUCUUCUGGAUGAGUUGCGAACGGGUGAGUAACGCGUAGGUAACCUGCCUGGUAGCGGGGGAUAACUAUUGGAAACGAUAGCUAAUACCGCAUAACAGUAGAUGUUGCAUGACAUUUGUUUAAAAGGUGCAAUUGCAUCACUACCAGAUGGACCUGCGUUGUAUUAGCUAGUUGGUGGGGUAACGGCUCACCAAGGCGACGAUACAUAGCCGACCUGAGAGGGUGAUCGGCCACACUGGGACUGAGACACGGCCCAGACUCCUACGGGAGGCAGCAGUAGGGAAUCUUCGGCAAUGGACGGAAGUCUGACCGAGCAACGCCGCGUGAGUGAAGAAGGUUUUCGGAUCGUAAAGCUCUGUUGUAAGAGAAGAACGAGUGUGAGAGUGGAAAGUUCACACUGUGACGGUAUCUUACCAGAAAGGGACGGCUAACUACGUGCCAGCAGCCGCGGUAAUACGUAGGUCCCGAGCGUUGUCCGGAUUUAUUGGGCGUAAAGCGAGCGCAGGCGGUUAGAUAAGUCUGAAGUUAAAGGCUGUGGCUUAACCAUAGUACGCUUUGGAAACUGUUUAACUUGAGUGCAAGAGGGGAGAGUGGAAUUCCAUGUGUAGCGGUGAAAUGCGUAGAUAUAUGGAGGAACACCGGUGGCGAAAGCGGCUCUCU